rnacentral:rRNA from 1 species
GCGGCGGACGGGUGAGUAACACGUGGGUAACCUGCCUGUAAGACUGGGAUAACUCCGGGAAACCGGAGCUAAUACCGGAUAGUUCCUUGAACCGCAUGGUUCAAGGAUGAAAGACGGUUUCGGCUGUCACUUACAGAUGGACCCGCGGCGCAUUAGCUAGUUGGUGGGGUAAUGGCUCACCAAGGCGACGAUGCGUAGCCGACCUGAGAGGGUGAUCGGCCACACUGGGACUGAGACACGGCCCAGACUCCUACGGGAGGCAGCAGUAGGGAAUCUUCCGCAAUGGACGAAAGUCUGACGGAGCAACGCCGCGUGAGUGAUGAAGGUUUUCGGAUCGUAAAGCUCUGUUGUUAGGGAAGAACAAGUGCGAGAGUAACUGCUCGCACCUUGACGGUACCUAACCAGAAAGCCACGGCUAACUACGUGCCAGCAGCCGCGGUAAUACGUAGGUGGCAAGCGUUGUCCGGAAUUAUUGGGCGUAAAGGGCUCGCAGGCGGUUUCUUAAGUCUGAUGUGAAAGCCCCCGGCUCAACCGGGGAGGGUCAUUGGAAACUGGGAAACUUGAGUGCAGAAGAGGAGAGUGGAAUUCCACGUGUAGCGGUGAAAUGCGUAGAGAUGUGGAGGAACACCAGUGGCGAAGGCGACUCUCUGGUCUGUAACUGACGCUGAGGAGCGAAAGCGUGGGGAGCGAACAGGAUUAGAUACCCUGGUAGUCCACGCCGUAAACGAUGAGUGCUA